AUGAUCGCGUGGCUGUGAGACUAGAGCGUGAUUAGUAACCCCACCAUAGCCCACUCGGUGAUGAUUGUCUCGUGACUGUCUGACAGACUCCUAAGGCCGGUCCAAGUGGCCGAGCCUACAUCAUAAUUUGUGGCAGUGGGAGCCUGUGUUCGUGCAGCCCCUAC
rnacentral:snRNA from 10 species